rnacentral:rRNA from 1 species
AACUGCGAGUGAAGCGGGAAAAGCUCAAAUUUAAAAUCUGUCAGUCUUUGGCUGUCCGAGUUGUAAUCUAGAGAAGUGUUAUCUGCGCUGGACCGUGUACAAGUCUCCUGGAAUGGAGCGUCAUAGAGGGUGAGAAUCCCGUCUCUGACACGGACUACCAGGGCUUUGUGAUGCACUCUCAAAGAGUCGAGUUGUUUGGGAAUGCAGCUCAAAAUGGGUGGUAAAUUCCAUCUAAAGCUAAAUAUUGGCGAGAGACCGAUAGCGAACAAGUACCGUGAGGGAAAGAUGAAAAGAACUUUGGAAAGAGAGUUAAACAGUACGUGAAAUUGCUGAAAGGGAAACGCUUGAAGUCAGUCGCGUUGUCCAGGAAUCAACCUUGCUUUUGCUUGGUGUACUUUCUGGUUAACGGGUCAGCAUCAAUUUUGAUCAUUGGAAAAAGGUUAAGGGAAUGUGGCAUCCUUGGAUGUGUUAUAGCCCUUGAUUGUAUACAAUGGUUGGGAUUGAGGAACUCAGCACGCCGCAAGGCCGGGUUUUAACCACGUACGUGCUUAGGAUGCUGGCAUAAUGGCUUUAAUCGACCCGUCUUGAAACACGGACCAAGGAGUCUAACAUGCCUGCGAGUGUUUGGGUGGAAAACCCGAGCGCGUAAUGAAAGUGAAAGUUGAGAUCCCUGUCGUGGGGAGCAUCGACGCCCGGACCAGACCUUUUGUGACGGUUCCGCGGUAGAGCAUGUAUGUUGGGACCCGAAAGAUGGUGAACUAUGCCUGAAUAGGGUGAAGCCAGAGGAAACUCUGGUGGAGGCUCGUAGCGAUUCUGACGUGCAAAUCGAUCGUCAAAUUUGGGUAUAGGGG